GACGAACGCUGGCGGCGUGCCUAAUACAUGCAAGUCGAGCGAGACUCUUCGGAGUCUAGCGGCGGACGGGUGAGUAACACGUGGGCAACCUGCAUGUAAGACUGGGAGAACACCGGGAAACCGGUGCUAAUACCGGAUAAUCCUUUUCCUCCCAUGAGGGAAAGCUGAAAGUCGGUUUCGGCUGACACUUACAGAUGGGCCCGCGGCGCAUUAGCUAGUUGGUUGGGUAACGGAUCACCAAGGCGACGAGGCGUAGCCGACCGGAGAGGAUGAUCGGCCACACUGGGACUGAGACACGGCCCAGACUCCUACGGGAGGCAGCAGUAGGGAAUCUUCCACAAUGGACGAAAGUCUGAUGGAGCAACGCCGCGUGAGCGAUGAAGGCCUUCGGGUCGUAAAGCUCUGUUGUUAGGGAAGAACAAGUACCGGAGUAACUGCCGGUACUUUGACGGUACCUAACCAGUAAGCCACGGCUAACUACGUGCCAGCAGCCGCCGUAAAAC
rnacentral:rRNA from 1 species